CCGGUGACAAACCGGAGGAAGGUGGGGAUGACGUCAAAUCAUCAUGCCCCUUAUGAUUUGGGCUACACACGUGCUACAAUGGACAAUACAAAGGGCAGCAAAACCGCGAGGUCAAGCAAAUCCCAUAAAGUUGUUCUCAGUUCGGAUUGUAGUCUGCAACUCGACUACAUGAAGCUGGAAUCGCUAGUAAUCGUAGAUCAGCAUGCUACGG
rnacentral:rRNA from 1 species